ensembl:lncRNA novel transcript
UUUCGGACCACAUGAAGGUGCACAGCCAGGGUCCUCACCAUGUCUGUGAGCUCUGCAACAAAGGUACUGGUGAGGUUUGUCCAAUGGCGGCGGCAGCGGCAGCGGCGGCAGCGGCAGCAGCGGCAGCAGUAGCAGCCCCUCCCACAGCUGUGGGCUCCCUCUCGGGGGCGGAGGGGGUGCCUGUGAGCUCUCAGCCACUUCCCUCCCAACCCUGGAAUCCCGGUGACCGUUGGCGGGAGGGGCCGGGGACUUAAGAAGGAGGCGUCUCUCCUGGAGGCGCGCGUGAGAAGGGGCAGGGAGGGGGCGCGAGUGGUCCCCGGGCCGGUUGCCUGGGUAACGCGUGGCUCCCUUGGGCUGGCGGGAGGGGCCGGAGGCUCGCGAGGGGCGGGGGCGGCGACGGCGGCGGAGCGUAGGGGAGGGGACCGGAGAGGAGGGGAUGAGCACACGGGAGAGGAGAAGAGGGAGACCCGCCG